GCCUGUGUGGUGUAGUGGCUGAGUGUUAGACUAUGACUCUGGAGGCUAGGGUUCGAAUCCCCACUCAGCCA